rnacentral:rRNA from 1 species
CGAAGUUUCCCUCAGGAUAGCUGGAGCAUAUAAAAUUUUGAAUUUAUUCUUGUCUGGUAAAGCGAAUGAUUAGAGGCCUUAGGUUCGAAAUGAUCUUAACCUAUUCUCAAACUAUAAAUGGGUACGUUACAUAACAUGCUUUAAUGAUGUUAUUGUUAUAAUGAAAAUUUAUUUUCAUUUAGUAAAAGAUAUAUAUGUGCUUAGUGGGCCAAGUUUUGGUAAGCAGAACUGGUGCUGUGGGAUGAACCAAACGCUAUGUUAAGGCGCCCAAGUAAAUGACGUAACACAGAUACCAUGAAAGAUGUUGAUUGCUAAAGACAGCAGGACGGUGGACAUGGAAGUUGUCAUCCGCUAAGGAGUGUGUAACAACUCACCUGCCGAAGCAAUUAGCUCUUAAAAUGGAUGGCGCUUAAGUCAUUCGCCUAUACAUGGCCGUUGUUAUAGAAAUGAUAAUAUAAUUUAUUUUAUAUUAUUUUGAAAUAACAACGAGUAGGAGGGUCUGAUGAUGUGCAUUGAAGUGUUUAGCGUAAGCUGGCAUGGAGCCAUCAUUAGCACAGAUCUUGGUGGUAGUAGCAAAUAUUCGAAUGAGAUCCUUGGAUGACUGAAGUGGAGGAGGGUUUCGUGUCAACAGCAGUUGAACACGAGUUAGCCAGUCCUAAGCUCUAUGGGAAACCUGAUUUAUUUUUAGUGGUUUAAUAAUAAUAUUUACUACGUAACAUUCAGGUAAAACAUAAUAUGGAGCGAAAGGGAAUCCGGUUACAAUUCCGGAGCCUGUUGAGUAUACGUUUGCAUAGUUGUUUAAUUAUUUAAUUAAUUGCAAUUUAUGUAAUCAUGGUAACAUGAAUCCUUUUCUUUGAGAAGUCAAUAGGAUGUAUCGGAAGAGUUUUCUUUUCUGUUUAACAAUCAUACUAACCAUGGAAGUCUUUCAUAGAGAGAUAUGGUUGGACAGAUUGGUAGAGCAUGGCAUUAAAUUGCUGUGUCGAUACACUCUUUUGAACCUUGAAAAUCAAAGACUGGGGCACGCAAACU